CUAUCCCUGCCCCGGAGAGUCCUGGCCAGUGUUUGAAGCUACGCGUUUUGGUCUGCUGCAAAGCCGCGACCACCGCAGACCCCAUGACGGAGGCCCCCAAAUCUCAGCCCCGAGGGAGAGGAGGUCCGGAGAAAGCAGAGGUCAUUCGGGCACACAGCCCUGCCCCGAUCCGGCUUAGCGUCGCCUGCCUGGCUCUCCUGGUGGUGCCCUUUCUCUGGCUCUGACUGCCGGGAAUUUGGAUCGCGUUCCUCCUCAAAGACUCGGGCCGGUUAGGGAGCGCCGGCGGAGGGAUCCCUCCACCCCACUGUUACCCCCCGCUGCGAAGAUGCUGACCGACCGCUUGGCACUUUAGACUUUGACGAAGACCCCCUCCUCAUUUCUCCUUCGAUUGACCACACAGCUGAUUUUGGGAAGGGGGGGCCGACAGUGUUUCCAAAUCCCGAAGGAACGCCUCUUUAAUCCGGGAUGAUCCUCUCCGCUUCCAUUCAGGCUCCUGAGGAUUUCUAGUGAGAGCGCGUCGUGUCUCGUUCCCACCACCGGAUAUCAAAUCUGUGCUUUCUGCCUCCGGGACCGGAUGGAGACCCCCAUCACCACCACCACCAAGCUGGCUUCCCCCACCCCAAACAAGAAAAUUCAGAUUUGAGUCCCUUCCAGAUUUCAGCCGAAGACAAUCUCCCCAGGACUUCACGCCAAAGAGACGAGAUUUCUCCCCGUUACUCCACUGGCAAUCUCCCAAGGACUUAAAACUGUGCUGCUUAAAUAGAGGAGGUUGGCUUUGUAUACCCCACCCCAAAAUUUCCUCUUUGGGGUGAACAUUGCCCCCCCCCAAAAAAAACCCACCCUCUGGACCGUGUCAGCUUCCCCGCGCUUUCUGUUCUCGAUGAGAACAAUCCUGACGGACGGCUCCAUUAUAUUAUCUUCCGUGAAGAAAGCAACUUCCUGUAGCUGGUGCGCUGCUCCCAUGUUUUUUUUUAUGAUUGUUGUGUUUUUAAAUUUGGUGGUCCCUCCCGCUGAAUCCGGGAUCAUCGGUGACUGAGCCAAACAAUAAAUCCGUUUUAGAAA